rnacentral:rRNA from 1 species
UACGUAGGUGGCAAGCGUUGUCCGGAUUUACUGGGCGUAAAGCGCGUGCAGGCGGUUCGUUAAGUUCAGGGUGAAAGCUCCCGGCUCAACUGGGAGAGGUCCUUGGAUACUGGCGGACUCGAGGGAGGUAGAGGAGAGUGGAAUUCCCGGUGUAGUGGUGAUAUGCGUAGAUAUCGGGAGGAACACCAGUGGCGAAGGCGGCUCUCUGGGCCUUACCUGACGCUGAGACGCGAAAGCGUGGGGAGCGAACCGG